rnacentral:rRNA from 1 species
ACGAACGCUGGCGGCGUGCCUAACACAUGCAAGUCACGGGGGUCCGUAGCAAUACGGGCAACCGGCGAACGGGUGCGUAACACGUGAGCAAUCUGCCGAUUUCUGGGGGAUAGCCGGUCCAACGACCGGGUAAUACCGCAUACGCUCAUUGGGGGGCAUUCCCCGAUGAGGAAACCUCCGGGGGAAAUCGAGGAGCUCGCGGCCUAUCAGCUAGUUGGUGCGGUAACGGCGCACCAAGGCGACGACGGGUAGCUGGUCUGAGAGGAUGGCCAGCCACAUUGGGACUGCGACACGGCCCAGACUCCUACGGGAGGCAGCAGUGGGGAAUAUUGCGCAAUGGACGAAAGUCUGACGCAGCGACGCCGCGUGUGGGAUGAAGCUUUUCGGAGUGUAAACCACUGUUGCUCGGGACGAACAUCCCUUUUCGAGGGGACUGACGGUACCGAGUGAGGAAGCACCGGCUAACUCUGU